rnacentral:rRNA from 1 species
CCUACGGGAGGCAGCAGUGGGGAAUUGUUCGCAAUGGGCGCAAGCCUGACGACGCAACGCCGCGUGGAGGAUGAAGACCUUCGGGUCGUAAACUCCUUUCGAUCGAGACGAACGGCUUCCGGGUGAACAAUCCGGAAGAGUGACGGUACCGAGAGAAGAAGCCCCGGCUAACUCCGUGCCAGCAGCCGCGGUAAUACGGGGGGGGUCAAGCGUUGUUCGGAAUUACUGGGCGUAAAGGGCUCGUAGGCGGCCAACUAAGUCAGACGUGAAAUCCCUCGGCUUAACCGGGGAACUGCGUCUGAUACUGGAUGGCUUGAGGUUGGGAGAGGGAUGCGGAAUUCCAGGUGUAGCGGUGAAAUGCGUAGAUAUCUGGAGGAACACCGGUGGCGAAGGCGGCAUCCUGGACCAAUUCUGACGCUGAGGAGCGAAAGCCAGGGGAGCAAACGGGAUUAGAUACCCCGGUAGUCCUGGCCCUAAACGAUGAAUGCUUGGUGUGGCGGGUAUCGAUCCCUGCCGUGCCGAAGCUAACGCAUUAAGCAUUCCUCCUGGGGAGACGGUUCGCAAGGCUGAAACUCAAAGGAAUUGACGG